UGCAGAUCUUGGUGGUAGUAGCAAAUAUUCAACUGAGAACUUUGAAGGCCGACGUGGAGAAAGGUUCCAUGUGAACAGCAAUUGGACAUGGGUUAGUCGAUCCUAAGGGAUAGGAGAAAUCCGUUAGAAAGUGUGCUCUUUGGAGCACCGUCUACCGAAAGGGAAGAGGGUUAAUAUUCCCUCACCAGGACGUGGAUGUCUGAGUGGCAACACAAACAAAACCGGGGACGUCGGCAGGAGUUCCGGGAAGAGUUCUCUUUUCUUCUUAACAAC
rnacentral:rRNA from 1 species